UAAUACGAUUAUGUACAACUACAGUUAAGAGUUAUUUUCACAAGGAUAGUUAAAAUUGAAGAUUAAACUCAAAGUUGAUGGAAGAAUGGCACGAAACUCAUAUAUUUUUAUAUGAACAGAGUUUAACAUACUUCGUAUUAUGUUCGCUAAAAAUUUUUUUUUUAUAAUAGUAACAAAUAUUUUAGAAAUUAUGCACCAUUUAUUCUAUUAAAUUAAAAAAAACGAUUCCCAUUUAGUAAUAAACAUUUUUAUAAUCCGAGCACGUUUUUGAUAAACUACAAUAAAAUAUUAUAGAAACGAAUUUUAAGCUUUUCAGCAAAGAAGUUCUCCUUAAAUUCGAUUAAAGGGUACCGCAAGGCUGUAACUGAAGUUUUGGAGAGAAAAGUGCGGUGAUACAAACUUUCUGAGUCCACCGUAGUAGCAUUACGAAAGUACAAUAAAGCUUGGCACUUUUAAAACGUUAAGAAAUAA